rnacentral:siRNA from 1 species
UGGCGAUUUCAAGCGGUCCA